rnacentral:rRNA from 1 species
GAUGAACGCUAGCGGCAGGCUUAAUACAUGCAAGUCGAGGGACAGCACAGGUAGCAAUACUGGGUGGUAACCGGCAAACGGGUGCGGAACACGUACACAACCUUCCUUUAAGUGGGGGAUAGCCCAGAGAAAUUUGGAUUAAUACCCCGUAAUAUAGUUGAAUGGCAUCAUUUGAUUAUUAUAGCUACGGCGCUUAAUGAUGGGUGUGCGGCUGAUUAGAUAGUUGGCGGGGUAACGGCCUACCAAGUCUACGAUCAGUAGCUGAUGUGAGAGCAUGAUCAGCCACACGGGCACUGAGAAACGGGGCCGACUCCUACGGGAGGCAGCAGUAAGGAAUAUUGGUCAAUGGAAGCAAGUCUGAACCAGCCAUGCCGCGUGAAGGAUUAAGGUCCUAUGGAUUGUAAACUUCUUUUAUUUGGGACGAAAAAGGGCCUUUCUAGGUCAACUGACGGUACCAGAUGAAUAAGCACCGGCUAACUCCGUGCCAGCCGCCGCCGUAACAC